rnacentral:misc_RNA from 1 species
UGGUUCUGGCAUCGAUGAAGAACGCAGCGAAAUGCGAUAAGUAAUGUGAAUUGCAGAAUUCAGUGAAUCAUCGAAUCUUUGAACGCACAUUGCGCCCCCUGGUAUUCCGGCGGGCAUGCCUAUUCGAGCGUCAUUUCUAUCCUCAAGCUCUGCUUGGUAUUGGGUGGCAAGCCUCAACCCCCCGGGGAAGUGGCUCCCCCGAAAAUUAGCGGCGGAUCGGCCGGGGUCCCAGCGCAGUGACUUUUUUUCUCGCUGAUUGGAUCCCCGGGCGGCUCUUGCCAGGACAACAAAAACCUUUUUAUCAAGAUUGACCUCGGAUUAGGUAGGGAUACCCGCUGA